rnacentral:miRNA from 1 species
UAUUAUGUUGGUGCAAAAGUAAUCGCGGUUUUCCUCAUUACAUUUAAUGGCAAAAACCGCAAUUACUUUUGUACCAAUCUAAUAU